rnacentral:rRNA from 1 species
AGUUGUUCUCAGUUCGGAUUGUAGUCUGCAACUCGACUACAUGAAGCUGGAAUCGCUAGUAAUCGUAGAUCAGCAUGCUACGGUGAAUACGUUCCCGGGUCUUGUACACACCGCCCGUCACACCACGAGAGUUUGUAACACCCGAAGCCGGUGGAGUAACCUUUUAGGAGCUAGCCGUCGAAGGUGGGACAAAUGAUUGGGGUGAAGUCGUAACAAGGUAGCCGUAUCGGAAGGUGCGGCUGG